CUACAACGGAGAGUUUGAUCCUGGCUCAGGAUGAACGCUGGCGGCGUGCUUAACACAUGCAAGUCGAACGAACCUUCGGGUUAGUGGCGGACGG
rnacentral:rRNA from 1 species